rnacentral:rRNA from 1 species
UACGGAGGGGGCUAGCGUUGUUCGGAAUUACUGGGCGUAAAGCGCACGUAGGCGGAUAUUUAAGUCAGGGGUGAAAUCCCGGGGCUCAACCCCGGAACUGCCUUUGAUACUGGGUAUCUGGAGGUCGAGAGAGGCGAGUGGAACUCCGAGUGUAGAGGUGAAAUUCGUAGAUAUUCGGAGGAACACCAGUGGCGAAGGCGGCUCACUGGUCUGGUACUGACGCUGAGGUGCGAAAGCGUGGGGAGCAAACAGG